UACGUAGGGUGCGAGCGUUAUUCGGAAUUACUGGGCGUAAAGCGUGCGCAGGCGGCGCGUUAAGACAGGUGUGAAAGCCCCGAGCUUAACUUGGGAAUUGCGCUUGUGACUGGCGUGCUGGAGUGUGGCAGAGGGAGGUGGAAUUCCACGUGUAGCAGUGAAAUGCAUAGAGAUGUGGAGGAACACCGAUGGCGAAGGCAGCCUGCUGGGCCAGCACUGACGCUCAUGCACGAAAGCGUGGGGAGCAAACAGG
rnacentral:rRNA from 1 species